AACGAACGCUGGCGGCAGGCUUAACACAUGCAAGUCGAACGGGCCCUUCGGGGUCAGUGGCAGACGGGUGAGUAACGCGUGGGAACGUGCCCUUCAGUUCGGGAUAACCCAGGGGAACUUGGGCUAAUACCGGAUACGUGCGAGAGCAGAAAGAUUUAUCGCUGAAGGAUCGGCCCGCGUCUGAUUAGCUGGUUGGUAGGGUAAUGGCCUACCAAGGCGACGAUCAGUAGCUGGUCUGAGAGGAUGAUCAGCCACAUUGGGACUGAGACACGGCCCAAACUCCUACGGGAGGCAGCAGUGGGGAAUAUUGGACAAUGGGCGCAAGCCUGAUCCAGCCAUGCCGCGUGAGUGAUGAAGGCCUUAGGGUUGUAAAGCUCUUUCGGUGGGGACGAUAAUGACGGUACCCACAGAAGAAGCCCCGGCUAACUUCGAGCCAGCCGCCGCAGUAACAC
rnacentral:rRNA from 1 species